rnacentral:rRNA from 1 species
AGUGGGUGUAGCGUACCUACUAGCCUACGACGGGUACGGGUUGUGAGAGCAAGAGCCCGGAGAUGGAUUCUGAGACACGAAUCCAGGCCCUACGGGGUGCAGCAGGCGCGAAAACUUUACAAUGCUGGCAACAGCGAUAAGGGAACCUCGAGUGCCAGGCUACAAAUCUGGCUGUCGAGAUGCCUAAAAAGCAUUUCAUAGCAAGGGCCGGGCAAGACCGGUGCCAGCCGCCGCGGUAACACCGGCGGCUCGAGUGGUAACCGUUAUUAUUGGGUCUAAAGGGUCUGUAGCCGGCCGGAUAAGUCUCUUGGGAAAUCUGGCAGCUCAACUGUCAGGCUAUCAGGAGAUACUGUCUGGCUCGAGGCCGGGAGAGGUGAGAGGUACUUCAGGGGUAGGGGUGAAAUCUUGUAAUCCUUGAAGGACCACCAGUGGCGAAGGCGUCUCACCAGAACGGACCUGACGGCAAGGGACGAAAGCUAGGGGCACGAACCGGAUUAGAU